GACGAACGCUGGCGGCGUGCUUAACACAUGCAAGUCGAACGGGAUUUAGUAAACGGAAGCCUCGGUGGAAGAUUACUAAUGAGAGUGGCGAACGGGUGAGUAACGCGUGAGCAACCUGCCUAUGACAGUGGGAUAGCCUCGGGAAACCGGGAUUAAUACCGCAUAAAAUCGUAGAAACACAUGUUUCAACGGUCAAAGAUUUAUCGGUCAUAGAUGGGCUCGCGUCUGAUUAGCUAGUUGGUGAGAUAACAGCCCACCAAGGCGACGAUCAGUAGCCGGUCUGAGAGGAUGAACGGCCACAUUGGAACUGAGGCACGGUCCAAACUCCUACGGGAGGCAGCAGUGGAGAAUAUUGCACAAUGGGGGAAACGCUGAUGCAGCGACGCCGCGUGAACGAAGAAGGUAUUCGUAUCGUAAAGUUCUGUCCUAUGGGAAGAUAAUGACAGUACCAUAGAAGAAAGCUCCGGCUAAAUACGUG
rnacentral:rRNA from 1 species